rnacentral:lncRNA from 1 species
UCAGUACUAAUUUAUACUCUUAUGCCCUUGCUUUACAUCAUCCUUGUGUGCCUUUUGCUCUUUGCAUUUAUGGUGUUCGACGAAAUUCCUCACCGAGGAUCUAAGUUAGCGAUUUCCUUUUGUUUCGAUUUGCUUCUUCACUGUUUUUUUGUGCAUUUAUGGUGUUCAACAGAGAGAAUUUCCUCUUUUGUUUCACUAUUGCAUUUAUGGCGUUCGACGAAAUUCCUCUCUGACAAAUUUUCUGCAACCUUAUCUCUCUCUGCUUUCCGUAAAAAAAAUUUGGUGUCCGUACACAGGAUUACUUUCAAGCGGAUAAUCAAGAACAAGUCGACUGAGGAAUUCUCCGGCGUGCCGUACCCGAUGACCUUACUCAACUGCCUCCUCUCGGCGUGGUACGGCCUCCCGUUCGUUUCCAAGGACAACCUACUGGUGACCACCAUCAAUGGCGCCGGAGCGGCGAUCGAGAUUAUAUACGUGCUAAUAUUCCUGGCGUUCGCUCCCAAGAAGGAGAAGG